rnacentral:rRNA from 1 species
GACGAACGCUGGCGGCGUGCCUAAUACAUGCAAGUAGAACGCAGUUGCGAACGGGUGAGUAACGCGUAGGUAACUGCCUGGUAGCGGGGGAUAACUAUUGGAAACGAUAGCUACUACCGCAUACUACAAGAUGGACCUGCGUUGUAUUAGCUAGUUGGGGGGGUAACGGCUCACCAAGGCAACGAUACAUAGCCGACUUGAGAGGGGGAGCAGCCACACUGGGACUGAGGCACGGGCCCGCAUCCAUCGGGAGGCAGCCGUAGGGAAUUUUCGGCAAAGGGCGGAAGUCUGGCCGAGCCACGCCACGGUCGUUGACAAUGUUUUCGGCUCGUAAAACUCUGUUCUAUCAUGAGCGGUAUCUUACCAGAAAGGGACGGCGAACUACGUGCCAGCAGCCGCGGUAAUAC